rnacentral:lncRNA from 1 species
CAAUGACCUGAACUAAUCGAUUUUAGUGGAAAAUCCUGACGUUCACAAACUGUUCAAUGUGAUUUACAUCUCCAAGGCCCAAAAGGGCUGGCAGACUUUCAAAAUUAAGAAACCGAUUGAAAACUGGAUUAGUGGCGAAGACAACUUAGGACUGUUGCUCACCAUCUCCAGCUAUGACGACAACAAGCUUAUCUCCAUAUUUAACGAUACGAACGAGGGUGUUUUUAAAACGUUUGCUGUCCUAAACAUUCGCAGGAAUCAAACACUCAGUCCAAGCACAACUGCUAACCAAACAGCGCCAGUGAAGAGCAACACAGCCUGUUCAAAAAAGCCCUGGAAAUUGGAUUUUCAACAAUUGCAGUGGGAUUCGUUUAUUUUGUAUCCGGAAAAUGGAUUUAUGGCCUAUCAGUGCUCGGGAAGAUGUCACUUGGAGGAUAAUCGCAAACAGAACAAUCACGCUAAGUUGAAGCAGUUUGUCAAUGGAGUGCGAGAAAAGGUUUGUUGCGUUCCAAAUGAGUACAGCUCGCUUCCCAUUAUGUAUCUGGAUCGUUCUGGAAAUGUGGUUUUGAAGAGCUACGAUCAGGUAGUCGUUGAGAGUUGUGGAUGUAGAUAAUAUUGUUUUAAGACACUUUGAAACAGGUAUUUUUUGUCAGUACUUUGGAAACCAAGAGCUAUUUUAAUGUGUUUCGUAUCGUUUCGAUUUGCUUGUUGUAUACUUUUAUAGUUUUUUAUGUAUGAUAUAUUUUACAUAAUUUGAUAUUAAACAGGUUCUUUAUAAAUGA